AUUGAACGCUGGCGGCAUGCCUUACACAUGCAAGUCGAACGGCAGCAUGGGUGCUUGCACCUGAUGGCGAGUGGCGAACGGGUGAGUAAUGCAUCGGAACGUACCCGGAAGUGGGGGAUAACGUAGCGAAAGUUACGCUAAUACCGCAUAUUCUGUGAGCAGGAAAGUGGGGGAUCGCAAGACCUCGCGCUUCCGGAGCGGCCGAUGUCGGAUUAGCUAGUUGGGGGGGUAAAGGCCCACCAAGGCAACGAUCCGUAGCGGGGCUGAGAGGAGGAUCCGCCACACUGGGACUGAGACACGGCCCAGACUCCUACGGGAGGCAGCAGUGGGGAAUUUUGGACAAUGGGGGCAACCCUGAUCCAGCCAUGCCGCGUGAGUGAAGAAGGCCUUCGGGUUGUAAAGCUCUUUCGGCCGGGAAGAAAUCGCACAGGUUAAUACCUUGUGUGGAUGACGGUACCGGAAUAAGAAGCACCGGCUAACUACGUGCCAGCAGCCGCGGUAACAC
rnacentral:rRNA from 1 species